rnacentral:rRNA from 1 species
CGAGCGCAACCCUUGUCAUUAGUUGCUACGAAAGGGCAUUCUAAUGAGACUGCCGGUGACAAACCGGAGGAAGGUGGGGAUGACGUCAAGUCCUCAUGGCCCUUAUGGGUAGGGCUACACACGUCAUACAAUGGCCGGUACAGAGGGCAGCCAACCCGCGAGGGGGAGCCAAUCCCAAAAAACCGGUCGUAGUCCGGAUUGCAGUCUGCAACUCGACUGCAUGAAGUCGGAAUCGCUAGUAAUCGCGGAUCAGCAUGCCGCGGUGAAUACGUUCCCGGGUCUUG